rnacentral:misc_RNA from 1 species
CCCACAAAUAAGCUAACAGAGGAAAUAAGACAAAUUUUUGAGAUUCUACAGACCAGUUUAGAAAAGAAUAACAUGAAUUACCCUCUAGAUAUUUCCUACAAUAAUUGGGAGGAAAUGACAAAUGAUUCAUUCAUAAACUAAUCUGUCAACCUAAACACAGCCAAGGAAAAGAAAAAAAAGAAUAACUAUAGUAGCUUAAGUGACCUCUCCUUAUCUCUUCUUGCUUUGCAGGGAAGACCAC